GUUUCCUUUUUACGUAGGAUACAAAGUGGCAUUUUUACUAUACUUUGUGCUGUACAGAUGUAGCCAUGCAAGGUCUGCUUCUGAGGCAUCUGUGAUCCACCUCACUUACAUUGAUGACCAGCUGACAUGUGGACCUCACAGCCUGUAAUUCUCCUUGGCUUCAAUGGCUUCCUUCCCAAACCAGCCACAACCUUCUCUGAACAGCCUCAUCACAGAGCUCUAGUCCUACUAAACUAAACAGGAGUUGGUUGACCUCAGCCUUAGAUGCAAGUUCAUUGGAGUGAGUCCACUGCUGACUGGCUGACUUUCAAAGCAUGAGACUAUCCCUGAUUGGUUGGCUUUCAGAGGUGAGUUCACAGAAGCAAAUUGUCAUUGAUCAAUUAGACAGGUUUAAAACCAGUUCUGGUGUUUACUGGUUACCAUGUCAGCUUUUUCCUGGGAGUGAGGACGUUUAAAAAUUCUCAUACCUAAAAAAUGUACUAGCCGUAGUAAAUUUUGGCGUUGGCAGUAACUUUAAUUCCAUCUAGCAUAACAUACCAUUUCCCCAGCUAAAAUAGAAGACCCAAGUUGGCAUAGAGGCUCCAUCUGA